rnacentral:snoRNA from 1 species
GUGAAAUGAUGAUGAAGUUUAUCCAUUCUCUGAGUGCUGCUGCUGCACUGCCCUCCCUGCAGCACCUAGAUUCCUGUUCUAGGGUCUCUGUGCCGUGCAGCCUCCAAAUACCCUCCAGUCUUUCAGUGUUCUACUGGGGGCUGCUGGAGGGUCUGGCGGGCUGCCCGCAGGAGCAGGACAGAGCCAGCAGGGCUGGAGUCCCUUUCCAUGGGGGCUCCAUCUCAACCAAGACGAGUGAUGCUCUCUGAUCAC